UAUGGGUGUGCCAGCAGCCGCGGUAAUACGGAAGGUCCGGGCGUUAUCCGGAUUUAUUGGGUUUAAAGGGAGCGUAGGCCGGAGAUUAAGCGUGUUGUGAAAUGUAGACGCUCAACGUCUGCACUGCAGCGCGAACUGGUUUCCUUGAGUACGCACAAAGUGGGCGGAAUUCGUGGUGUAGCGGUGAAAUGCUUAGAUAUCACGAAGAACUCCGAUUGCGAAGGCAGCUCACUGGAGCGCAACUGACGCUGAAGCUCGAAAGUGCGGGUAUCGAACAGG
rnacentral:rRNA from 1 species